UGAACGCUGGCGGCAGGCCUAACACAUGCAAGUCGAGCGGUAGCACAGAGAGCUUGCUCUCGGGUGACGAGCGGCGGACGGGUGAGUAAUGUCUGGGAAACUGCCUGAUGGAGGGGGAUAACUACUGGAAACGGUAGCUAAUACCGCAUAAUGUCGCAAGACCAAAGUGGGGGACCUUCGGGCCUCAUGCCAUCAGAUGUGCCCAGAUGGGAUUAGCUAGUAGGUGGGGUAACGGCUCACCUAGGCGACGAUCCCUAGCUGGUCUGAGAGGAUGACCAGCCACACUGGAACUGAGACGCGGUCCAGACUCCUACGGGAGGCAGCAGUGGGGAAUAUUGCACAAUGGGCGCAAGCCUGAUGCAGCCAUGCCGCGUGUGUGAAGAAGGCCUUCGGGUUGUAAAGCACUUUCAGCGGGGAGGAAGGCGUUAAGGUUAAUAACCUUGGCGAUUGACGUUACCCGCAGAAGAAGCACCGGCUAACUCCGUGCCAGCAGCCGCGGUAAUACGGAGGGUGCAAGCGUUAAUCGGAAUUACUGGGCGUAAAGCGCACGCAGGCGGUCUGUCAAGUCGGAUGUGAAAUCCCCGGGCUCAACCUGGGAACUGCAUUCGAAACUGGCAGGCUAGAGUCUUGUAGAGGGGGGUAGAAUUCCAGGUGUAGCGGUGAAAUGCGUAGAGAUCUGGAGGAAUACCGGUGGCGAAGGCGGCCCCCUGGACAAAGACUGACGCUCAGGUGCGAAAGCGUGGGGAGCAAACAGGAUUAGAUACCCUGGUAGUCCACGCCGUAAACGAUGUCGAUUUGGAGGUUGUGCCCUUGAGGCGUGGCUUCCGGAGCUAACGCGUUAAAUCGACCGCCUGGGGAGUACGGCCGCAAGGUUAAAACUCAAAUGAAUUGACGGGGGCCCGCACAAGCGGUGGAGCAUGUGGUUUAAUUCGAUGCAACGCGAAGAACCUUACCUGGUCUUGACAUCCACAGAACUUUCCAGAGAUGGAUUGGUGCCUUCGGGAACUGUGAGACAGGUGCUGCAUGGCUGUCGUCAGCUCGUGUUGUGAAAUGUUGGGUUAAGUCCCGCAACGAGCGCAACCCUUAUCCUUUGUUGCCAGCGGUUAGGCCGGGAACUCAAAGGAGACUGCCAGUGAUAAACUGGAGGAAGGUGGGGAUGACGUCAAGUCAUCAUGGCCCUUACGACCAGGGCUACACACGUGCUACAAUGGCAUAUACAAAGAGAAGCGACCUCGCGAGAGCAAGCGGACCUCAUAAAGUAUGUCGUAGUCCGGAUUGGAGUCUGCAACUCGACUCCAUGAAGUCGGAAUCGCUAGUAAUCGUAGAUCAGAAUGCUACGGUGAAUACGUUCCCGGGCCUUGUACACACCGCCCGUCACACCAUGGGAGUGGGUUGCAAAAGAAGUAGGUAGCUUAACCUUCGGGAGGGCGCUUACCACUUUGUGAUUCAUGACUGGGGUGAAGUC
rnacentral:rRNA from 1 species